AGCAGCAUGGCGCAGUCUGGAAGCGCGCGGGGCCCAUAACAUGGAGUGAAACCCCGAGGUCACUCGAUCGAAACGAGUUGCUGCUA